rnacentral:rRNA from 1 species
GCUAGCGUUGUCCGGAAUCAUUGGGCGUAAAGAGCGUGUAGGCGGCCCGGUAAGUCCGCUGUAAAAGUCAAAGGCUCAACCUUUGAAUGUCAGUGGAUACUGCCGGGCUAGAGUCCGGAAGAGGCGAGUGGAACUCCUGGUGUAGCGGUGGAAUGCGCAGAUAUCAGGAAGAACACCAACGGCGAAGGCAGCUCGCUAGGACGGUACUGACGCUGAGACGCGAAAGCGUGGGGAGCGAACAGG